GGGUUGGGGGUUGGGGGUUGGGGGGGGUGGGGUGACAGUAACAACCACACUUUGUGAUAACAAACAUUCCGACGAUUAAUGUGAUUGAUCGGCCUCACUCCUUCUCUCUCAUCACCAUUUAUCUUUAGUAGCCAGAGUUUGUCAUCAGUGUGUGUGUCUGUGUGUGUUUGUGUGUUUGAAUGGGGGCUCUGUAUGUCCCCUGGCAUCUAUUUGCUUUAAAGCGCUCAGUCAUUACGACCUAAUACAUGUAGAUUGUGAUGUGAGGGGGAGAAGGGGGAGAUCAGUGGAGUGUUAUGGAGGAAAGCAGAUGCUCGCCUCUGGAGUUAUUACAUAGAGAGAUGAUUAGUGUGUGUGUGUGUAUAUGUGUGUAUAUGUGUGUAUGUGUGGAUGUGGGGGGGAUCAGUGAACUGAUGGAAGGCCUUCAAGCUCGGAGAGACAGAAGAAAAAAGGUAUUUCAUUUGGAGCUCAUUUACAUUUUUUAUGAGGAGACUCAGAGCGUGGAGGCUGAGGGGGAGGAAGGGGAGGGGGUUAAAAGGGAGGUGGGAGAGUUACUCCUUAGUCCCUACUGCAACAUUUCUGGCCAUUUAUCAGACCCCUAUCUGAGCUGAAACCAUCAGCUGACCUUUGACCAUUAACGAUAAAACAGAGCACACUAAUAGAGAAUAGAGUUAAAUAGAAUAUAAGAGAAUUAUAUACAAAAAUUUCGAUGAAAGGAGGAAAAGAGCAGAAAAGCAUCAAAUAAAUAAAAAGAGAUGCAAAUAAAUUUAAAGUAAAAUAGCAUUUAAGAAAAACAGAAGAGAAAUGACUAAAGAAAAUAUGAAUAAAUCCAACCAGCACAACAAAAGGCGAUUAGAGUCAUAUAGAACAGAAAGGAAAAUGUGAAAAGAAGAGCAAAAAUAAGACACUUGAAAAAUAGUAGAAUAAAACUAAAGACAGUAUAGAGUUAUGUAGGUAUAGAAGACAAAAGUACACUUGAUGUGUGGUUGAUUUGAAAAGAGUUGUUUUAAGAUUAAAAAUGAAAUCGAGUAGUUUCUUCCACAAGAGCAGAGGAAGUACACCUGUAACUUUUCACUUCAUCGGCCUGACUGUAGUAAGCUGCUCUUCUGAUGAUGAUGCUGCUGCUCUGCACACUUUCUUCUAGUGUCCAGUAUUAAGGUGUAACUCUGGAAUCCUUGGAUUGUGUUUUUUACUGUGCUCUUAUAAUCUCUUGUACAUCUGCUGCUGCAUAUAACAGUUUUAUACAAUGCUCUCUCCUGCAGUCUUGUUUGACCCUUUUGUCACAUCAGUUUAUUCUUUUUGGUCCUCACAUUUAGGGAGGACGCCUGUCUCUGUGAUGUGUUUAUAAUCUAUAAACAUAAUCUACUGAAUGCACUCCAGCAUCCAGACUGAUUUCAUUGAAAAUCUUUAUACAGUAACUGAUAUAAAAUUGAACUCCUUGUCAGGUCAUGUAACUCAGCACUGAUGUGACCUGAGGAAAAAAAACACAUGAAGACAAACAGAGAAAAAGAAACUGAAGAAAAGGCAUCUGACGACUGAUAAAGGUGAAGCAAAGCCAACAUGGCUGACGAUGAUCAGCAGCUCCAGAUCAGAAUAACAUCACACUGGUUUCCAUACUGCAGCAAAGUUCAUGCUUAUUAUUGUUACUCAAUUUUUCUGUGUAUUUUUUCUCAGUUUAUCUUUCUCUAAAUACGAGGUGAGCUUUGGUUAGCUUGGCACACAAACAGCUGUUCGAAAUGUCCUUUUACUCUGAGACUGUGAGGACAUCUUUGAGUCUGGACCAUAAACUGUCUCUGCAGGAGACACAUUAGAGUGCUGCUAAUCCUAAAAGAGAAAAGAGUGAAGAGUGAGAGCACUUUUACCCCCUCUGUUAGACUCUCUGUUUAGGCAGAAAUAAAAGAUCCUCCAUCCGCGGACCAGCUGCCGGAGAAUCGUCCUCUUAAUGAGAAUAAGCAGAGAGUAAACUUGUGCAUGUGCAGCGCCCAGGAGACUCGGUCUUAGUGUACACACAUGAAGCGCCUUCACAUUGAGACUGAGCAAACAAAUAGAUUUCCUCCGCCGCUCUGUCAGAUGCAUAAAAACUAUAAAAAUAUCUCUGACGGCUCAAAGUAAAGCGGCGGGGGAGGGUAGGCGAGGCGUCUCUAACAACUUCCUGUAAUUGGGAUUUAUUGAGAAGGAAGCGGAGGGUAAAGAUUUAGAAAUUAUAAGCUAUUAUGUGCCAGAGAGAGUAAGCGAGGUGGGGGGGCGGGACACAUAAAACACAGCUGACAAGCCAAGGCAAAUUAGCCCAGGACCGUUAGAAAAAUCACUUAAUUGCCGGCAAUUCUGUCAGGUCAAUUGACUCUAAUUGAAAAAAAAAAAAGAAGAAGGCGAUGGAAAAACAAAAAAAUAUCAUGAGAAGAGCUAGGGAUGAGGUGAUUGCUUAGGAAACAAGCCCUGAUUGGACACCCUCCUCUUCCUCAUCCUGACAUGAUGCAACACUGACAGACAGAAGCUCUGAUUGAUGCUAUUAUUGAUUCAUCUGCUUAUUAUUGAUCUAUAAUCCUUCAACCAGAGGAUACGAGCCAACCUUUGAGUCCUUCUGUCACAACAGGACACUGUGUAACACUAUUUCCAAAUUUACUGCCCAAACACCAUUCCACCUUAAACUCCAUUCAUAAUGAAAGAAAUACAGUCUUUUUUUUACAGGCAUGAAAAUCUCUCACCUUUCGGCGAAAUUCGCCGUUUUGAAGUCAAAAAGGGUGACCUACUUGAAUCGUGUAGAUCCGAGGAGAAUUUUUUUUAGGGGGGGUUGGGGUCGGGAGAUUUUUUUUAAAAUUAUUAUCAUGUGAUUGACUUAAUACGUAAACUGAGCACCUCAGAAAUCGGCCCUUUAAAUGACACUUGGACGGUCAGCAAAUCAUCCUGGCUCCUUCGCUGACGAGAACCAAUCACAGGCCAAACUGCGUUCCAUUAUUCCAAUCAUGCGCACACUCUUCACGUGUACUUGGAGUGCUUGGAGAGCCUGUGGUAGCAUUGCAAAGCUGCAAGAACGAGAAGCAGGACUUAUCCAUGCCGGUGUUGUGCUGUAGAAUGCACCCCUGCCGUAGAAUGCCCCCCUGACGAGAGCGCGGUUAAAAGUACACAACAAGGUGAAAUAAUCCAAGUUUUCCUUAGCGUUGGACGGAUUCAAAAGCGUGCGCCUUCAAUGACUUCAUUCAGGUUCUAGAACUUGUUGUCCUAUGCUUUGGCCCAUGCUUGAAGCCUUUUGUGACAAAAUAAAAACAUGUGAACCCUGGUCUUCUUAACACUCCUUUUCGCCGCUGAUGUUAUUCAUUGAUUCAUUAAAACGUAAUGGUUUUGAGCCAUCUAAAAUAGCGAAAGCGGGCAUCUCGCGUUUACAGCUCUGCAGGGCUCUCGUGACACACGCAUUCCCACCCGUUCACACGCCACACAUUGUAUUUCUCACGCAUUUAUAUGAACAUGGUGAUGUCCACAAAGUUGCACCUCUGUAACAAUGGAACAGGUAGAAAUCAACUGAGAUCCUCCGAGAGUUCAGAAGCUGCGUGCCACGCACAAGCCAAUCAAAUAAAGUAUAUAUACUGAACAGCCAAUCAAAAAGCAGCAUUGCUGUAUCCGGGUAGAUUUUGAUAUCUUGCAGUUUGACUACAGAGGAAGACAGACACUCGCCAAAAUAGGGCAGGUUUUUAUAAGGACGAGAUAGACCCGAUGAUUACAGUAAGUCAGUAACCUACACAUGCAGAGACCUCAACACCUCAUGGCAGAUAAACUCAUGUGAUAAACUAAAGCCCUAUGCUAUUGCUAUUAACAGCUGUAUUGAUGCCUCUGUACAGCCAUUUCCAGCCAUUUUCUACUCCACAAAAGCAGCAUUUCUCAUAUAUUCUUUUUAAAGUUCUGACAGUGUAACGCUCAUGUACCAAAGGAUUAAGUAUCUCCAUGUUUGUGAAACCUAUACUCAAGUAUAUUUCAUUUAAAUGCUCCUCAGUGCUGAUUUUAGCAACUCUCCUCCACAACAGGUAACUUUACAACUUUAUUCUUAUAUAUUAUUGAUUAUUUAUUCUCCUAAAUAAUAACUUUAUUCUCUGAGAUUUAAAGACGUUUUUUUUUCUCAGUGUGGCCCUCAUACUCCAUUGUAUUUAAGAGAUUAUUAUACUAAUAAUUAUCUUCAAUCGCUCUUCACCCCCCCCCCACACACACACACACCUUUUCAACCCCUGACCCAUUUUCAUGCCUGUUUUUUUUUUUUUUUUUUAAUACUCUUUUUAUUGGUUUUUCAGAUUUUAGAGUACAAACAUUAGAAAAACAAGACUAACAACAGAACAUACACAAAAACAAACCAAAACAAACAAAAACAAAACAAAAAGUCCCACCCCAAACUAAUGCGAGCACUGCAAUAUAUAUCGCUAUAAAUCCAUCCAUGCAUACACAAAUAUAUACACAUACAAAGUCAGCAAGAUGACAGGAGACAGGCAAAUAAAAAAUAGUCAGCCUUCCUCUUCCAGGGACAUAUGAUGAGUUAUAAUUUCUGUAAAAAGGAAUUAAAUGGUUCCCAGAUCCUCCAAAACUUGUCCGAUUUAUGGUUAAGGUCGUGAGUCAACUUCUCGAGAGGAAUAAGUGCAGAAAUCUGUGUUAUCCACAUGUCGACAGUAGGGACCCGGGAAGUUGACCAUCUCAGCAAAAUACAUUUUUUAGCCAAAAAUAAAAGGAUUAUCAACAAAGAUUUGGUAUCUGCGUCAAAAAGAUUGUCUGGGGUAUAAUGACUAAGGAGACAGAAAGAAGAGGUCAGCAGAAAUUUUUUACCAGUGACCUCCUGGAUUACAGAGUGUACCCCCUUCCAAAAAGUCUGGAUAUGGUCACAUGACCAAAACAAGUGAAUAAAUGUCCCUUUAUGUAUUUUACAUUUAUAACAAAGAUUAGAAGUGCAAGGGAACAUUUUCUGGAGGCGAACGGGUGUGUAAUAGGUUCUAAAGAAAAAUUUAAAGUUCUGUUCAUGUAUAGAGAUCGAGGUACAUUUAGGGAAAACCCCACUACAGAUCUUGUUCCAGUCAACAGAAUUAAACAUCACCUCCAGGUCACGUUCCCAUAGCAGCUUCAAAGAGUCAUAGCUUGAAGAGUCAAAAUAAAGUAGUGAAACAUAGAUCUUUGAAAUCAAUUUUUUGGGGGACUUAGCCAGAAUUAUUAUGUUUUCCAACUCAGACAAACCCAAACGAAUCUUGCCUGUCCUGAGAAGGGACCCUAUAAAAUGACGAAUUUGAAGAUAUUUGUAAAAAUCUUGAUGAGGAAUAUUAAAAUCAGCCCUGACUUGCCCAAAUGAUUUAACAGAGCCGGAAUCCAGCAGGUCCAUGAUGUUAAGUACGCCCUUAGAUGCCCAUUCCAUCAAACCAAUACUCCUCAUCUGUGCUGGUAAAUCUGGAUUCAGAGCUAAGGGAGAUCGGGAAGAGAUGACAGGAGGAAUAUUUAGGUGUUUCCUCACAUCUCUCCAAACUAGUAGUGUAUUAUAAACAAUUAUAUUAUUCUUGAGAUGAAUUAACUGAUCUAUAUUAUUAAUAAAGGGAAGGGAAAUAAGUUUUCUGGGAUAACAAGACUGGGAUUCAAGACCCAACCAUAAGGAAUCUUUCCUAUUCAAAAACCAAUCUGACAUCAUCUUGAGUUGUGCUGACCAAUAGUAUAGUUGUAGAGAGGGCAGGGACAAGCCUCCGAGAUCCUUUGGCUUAAUAAGUAUGGAGAACUUAACUCUUUGGUGUUUGUUAUUCCAAAUAACACGAGAUAUAUGAGAAUUGAGAGAUUUAAAAAAUGCCGACGUCAGAUAACACGGGAGAUUUUGGAAUAAAUAGUUAAAUCGAGGAAGAAUAUUCAUUUUUAUAGUGUUGAUUCUCCCAAGGAGAGAAGUUGGUAACCAGGACCAUUUUGUCAAAUCAUUCUUAACCCUUUGAAUUAGAGGAGAGUAAUUAGUUUCAAACAGAUUGUUUAAAUCAGGGGUGACAAAGAUACCUAGGUAUUUAAAACCCAUCUUGGACACUCGAAAAGGAGAUUGUAUAGACAUAUCUUGGGGGAUAUUAAAGGGUGUAGCGACCGACUUCCCCAGGUUAAUCUUAUAACCCGACAGGGCACUAAAUGUGGUUAUUGAUUUCAGAACUGCCGGAAUCGAUUUCUCAGGUUUGUACAUGUAUAAAAGAACAUCAUCUGCAAAUAAGGAAAUAACAUGGUUCUCCCCACCCACCUUAAUACCAAAUAUAUCAGGAUUAGUUCUGAUGACCUCGGCCAGAGGUUCAAUAAACAAUAUAAACAAUAAAGGUGACAGGGGGCACCCUCAUGCCUGUUUUUAAGAGAAACCUAUGCAAAGUUACCUCGAAUAAUGACCAAAAUUAGGGAUGACACUGAUUAUAAGACGACCCCCUAUUUAAGACUACCCUUUUAAAGACCAAACCUAAUGACUCAGCAUGUCACAUGUGUGUAAAUGAAGUACCUCAUGAUUGGCACACAGACAGAUCUGCUGAUACUGGAAUAGGCUGAAUAGGAUGAAUCCAUUAAAAAAUCCUGUAUGUCCUACUUCUAUUUUCAGGGCUUAUAUUAUAGACUAGAAACAUCAAGGGGUAACUUUUACCCCCUGCCAUUUUCAAAUACUUGUAUUUCUGUUAAAAUAAAACCCCUACAUCUUAAAGUCCAUGACUUACUAAAAUAGAUUUAUUAAUCAUUCAGUGAAUUUUGGUGAGUGUGUGAUAGAAAUUGAAAUAAAAACGACCAUUUAUACCUUGAACUGCCAAGAAGUCAUUUUUACCCCCUCAUAUAAAACACUGUAUACAGCUGUCACUUUACGCCCAGUGCCACUCCUGAUUGCUUAGCAGCGCUCAUAGUUUUUUGCGCAAUGCCCCUCUCGCCACUCCUAGUUGCUAAGCAAUGCUUGUCAUCUGAUUUUGACAGCGAUCAGUAGCUCUUACAACCACUAGCCAUCAUGUCAGAAAUAUGGGCCUAACCAAAAGAUUCACGAGUGCCAAAGAGGCCUGGCAGUUGUACCAGGAUCUGAGUGAGAGAGAGUUGGAAGGAGGACAGAUAAUCGUGGGUUUAAGUGAAGAAGAAUCAGAUGAGGGGGACAUCAGUGUGGAGGAAUUGGUGUGGGGAGAGCUCAAUGACCCGUCAUUUUUACCAGGUGAUGAUGAGUCAUCAACAGAGGAUGAGGAGCUGACUUCACAAAAAGGUGCUGGCUUCAGGUGACAAGUGAGGGGAUGCUCUCUACACAUGCUCGGCCCUUAGACAUAGCCUGAGCUAGCAAACCCGCUGUGACAGGUAAAUGUGACUGUGUGGCAUUUUAGUUUCCCUAAAGUCCAUGACAAGUCCUAAUUGUGUUGCAUUCUUGCUAGGCUACUGCUAAACUAAUCAUACAUACUGUGGCAGUAGACAGUAUAUAUCAAGCUGGGCAGCCUGUGGUGAUAUGUCGGCUUAGCUUUAAUAUAAUAAUAAUAAUAAAUUUUAUUUGAAAGCGCCCUUCAAAGCACCCAGGGUCACUGUACAAUAUUAAAAGCAAGAUAUUCGUAAUAAGACAAUAAAUAAAACAAUAAGCAAUUUAAACAGAUAAAAAUCGACAUAGGGAAUGGAUAAAACAGCUACAGGGAGUAUGCGAAGCGAAACAGGUGGGUUUUGAGUAGUGUUUUGAAAGAGAGAAAGGAGUCAGUGUUUCUGAGAUCGGGUGGUAGUGAGUUCCAGAGCUGGGGGGCAGAGCGACUGAAGGCUCUGCCCCCCAUUGUACUGAGGCGGGCAGGGGGGACAGAGAGGUGGAUGGAGGAGGAGGACCGGAGGGAGCGAGUGGGGGUGAUGACGUGCAGGAGGUCGGACAGGUAGGGGGGCAAGGUUAUGGAUGGCCAUGUAUGCGAACAGGAGAAGUUUGUAGAUGAUCCGGUCUUUGAUGGGGAGCCAGUGGAGGUGCUGCAGGACGGGGGUGAUGU